rnacentral:misc_RNA from 1 species
UUUCCGUAGGUGAACCUGCGGAAGGAUCAUUACAGAGUUCAUGCCCUCACGGGUAGAUCUCCCACCCUUGAAUAUUUAUACCUUAGUUGCUUUGGCAGGCCGUGGAAACACCAUGGGCUCCGGCUUAUGCGUGCCUGCCAGAGGAAACAAACUCUGUUUUUAGCGACGUCUGAGUACUAUAUAAUAGUUAAAACUUUCAACAACGGAUCUCUUGGUUCUG